rnacentral:rRNA from 1 species
UCAGUCGACUCCUACGGGGAGGCAGCAGUGGGGAAUAUUGCACAAUGGGCGCAAGCCUGAUGCAGCCAUGCCGCGUGUGUGAAGAAGGCCUUCGGGUUGUAAAGCACUUUCAGUAAGGAGGAAAGGUUAAGUGUUAAUAGCGCUUAGCUGUGACGUUACUUACAGAAGAAGCACCGGCUAACUCCGUGCCAGCAGCCGCGGUAAUACGGAGGGUGCGAGCGUUAAUCGGAAUUACUGGGCGUAAAGCGUACGCAGGCGGUUUGUUAAGCGAGAUGUGAAAGACCCCGGGCUCAACCUGGGAACUGCAUUUCGAACUGGCAAACUAGAGUGUGAUAGAGGGUGGUAGAAUUUCAGGUGUAGCGGUGAAAUGCGUAGAGAUCUGAAGGAAUACCGAUGGCGAAGGCAGCCACCUGGGUCAACACUGACGCUCAUGUACGAAAGCGUGGGGAGCAAACAGGAUUAGAUACCCUGGUAG